CAGAGAAUAGUUUAAUGUAAAAUGCCAGCUUUGGGGGCUGGAGAUGGGGGUUUAAGUCCCCCUUCUCUGA
rnacentral:tRNA from 1 species